UGAUAUUGGCCAACUGAACAUAUACAGUGCUGCUGCUGUUUUAUUUCAAGAACAGGCAACCAUUCUCUUAAGUUUGUUUCUUGGCAAUGCAGAGGACUGCUUUGGAAAGGGUGAUCAGGAGUUCUUCGUGCACAGCCCUUCUGAUAUCAUGCAAAGCAUGAACUAAAGGUAUAAUUAAUUAUUUGCAGGAGGAAAGGAUGCUGAAUAGCCACGGGGGAAGAAAGAAUUAUGCUUCUUCCCACUCAAAACCAUGCAGUACCCAAAGUACUGCAUGAAACAGGAAUGUAUUUGCUGAAACAUCAAUAUCCAUUUUAAAAGGCGCAACCAACUUCCUCUGGUUCUUUUCCUUUUUUCUCAAGCCAGCUGCAUCUGUACCUUAGGGAUGUCCUUCCCACUUAGAAAAACAUGCAGCGUUGCCAAUAUUCUCAGAUUUCUCUCCUGGACAGAACAUUUAUCAGAAACGCAUGUCUGAGCCAAUGUUCAAGCUAAAUUCUAAGUAGUAAAUUUAUUUGCUCAGCACCAUUGUUCAUUUCAAGGAAUCAGCCACUUAUGUGAAUAAAUUAGCAAAGUGAGCCUCUUA